GUACGCCGCUCGCAUCACUGGCUGUUCCGGUGCUCGCCAAGGGCCUGUGCUUCCUCACGGAGGCAUUUCCUACCGAGACGGGUCACAGUGCACGCAGUCCUCUCACUGGGCUCUGCGGGUCCUGGGGUCAUCCCAGCCUGGGUGUCAGAGGUGACCCUGUGACACUUGAGCCACAGUCGGCAGGAAAAGCGACAGCACGACAGCCUUAUCGUCGUCCAUGGAGGGGAGAAGAACCCGUCGGGGCCUGUCCUCUCGGACGGGAGCGGCGCCCCGCGGCUGUCAGGGCCUCGUUCUGACGCUUGGCUCACCCAGCGGGCCCCUCGUCCUAAACCACCUUUUUUACCAGCUCAGAGUCAGGCCUUUUCUGGCAGCCAUCUGUAUAAACAAAGUAUUUUGGGGUCUAGAAGAGUGGUUUCUUCUCUGGGCAAGACUUUUUGACUUAAUUGUCCCCUCACCUUGACUCCUAUGCUUAAAAAGAUCAAGACUGAGCAAAAGAAACAUAUUAUUUUAGUCCACAUCUCUUAAGAAAACAAAAACACAUUCAAAUUCCACUCCUCGGGCUGUGUUGGCCUCGAGCCUGGCCCUAAAAGGCUGAGGGGACAGACGAUUAUUCCCAGCCUCCAACGACGCUCUCCUGACCUCUGGCCUCUGGCCCCCAGCCUCGACCUUUCCCAUUUCUCUGCAUUCUGUCUCCCCACAUCGCCUGGACCCAUCUGUGAGCCUCCACCUGUCCACACAGGAAGAAAAACGGAGUUUGCAGUAUAAAUAUUUAGCUUGAAGAUCUUGGAGAGUGUUUUGGGGGAGGCUCCUGGGUUCCAGCACAGCUGACCCCACAACUUCUCCAACGGCCCCGCCUGCCCUCCACACACGCCUCCCUUAGCCCCACUAACCAAGGCAACUGGCAGCACCUGGGGGGAACGCUGGGGGAGGGGUGCUUGAGCCUGGCGCCCCCACAAUGUCCAUCACCCUUCCCAAAGCCACCCCGAUGAACAGACAAUCUAGGUCAAGGCAGCUCAACCUCUGGCCUCCAGCUCCUCGUACAGAUAAUCCGGGCCCGCCAUGGAAAGAUCUGACUUCGUUCACAGCAGAAGCUGACAUCCGGGGCUUUGAGCCAGACCUGAGUUUGAAAUCUGCCACUUCCUAGCAGGGUGACGGUCUGCUGAGAAAUCUCCGCUUCGGCCUUCAGGUUGAAUUCCGAUUUCUCCAUGUGUCAUGACUAAUGGCAGAAACCAAGAAAUUCAGUGGAAAUACACAGUUCCUCUUAAAAUCUGUGCUCAGGACUGGCCCACCCGCCAUCACUUCUUCACCUCCCACUGGUAAGAGCACAUCACAUGCCUGAGUCCAGCAUCACUGAUGGACUUCCUUACUUUGGCAGCCAUGACGUGCACCUGUCAGGUCUCCAGGGUGGGGCCUAACGGACAGAUAGACCAUGGACUCAUCCUAACAGUCGAGCCAAGACCACACUUCUGCGUCUCCCGGUUCAACAGUGAGCAAGGCAGGGAGGAAGGCCCAGUCCGAGGAGACCCAGGGCUCCUCCGGCAGCACAAGGACUCUUUGUCGCUUUAUGGAAUUUUCCCAGUAUGGCCCUGCAGUCAACAACCGCCCAAUCUUCCUUCCCCCCUCCCUCCCGGCCUCCUCUGGCUCCCUCCUCACUACUCCUCCCCCCAACCCUGGCAUUCUCCCCGCAAAAAAUCUCCUGGAUAGUUCAUCCCUUCUUGACUAUCUCAGAGGACCUGGACUAACACCACUUCCCAUAAUAGAUUUGGGUAAACUAAAAGAAAGAGAGAGGUCUUCCAGGCAGGUAAACAAUUUGAAUAAAGGUGUGGAGGUAGCAAAGCCCAGGGUGUGCUCACAUCACAUGGGGAAAUUAGCCUGUCCUAAGAGGACAUCAAAUCCCCAUGCUAUAGCCCACAAAAUAUGUGCUGUGUGACCUUGGGUAAUUCACUGAGUCUCUCUGGGCCUUGCAAACUGGGAACACGAAUAGUACCCACUUUGCAGGCUCUUGAGGGGGAUUAGACAAGUUAAUACAAAAAAAAUUUUUUUUAAGAUUUUAUUCAUCCAUUUGA